GCAAGAGCGGCGGGGUCCUCCGACGGGCGAAGUCCCCAGUGCCUGUGUGCAUUCGGUGCGUCCGCUCCCUAGACGCGGCCCCAGGUGCGGGGUGGUGGAGGCGGAGUCGGCCCCUGAGCCCUGCCCGCGGUAGUUCGCCGGGAUGAACCUGGAGUUGUUGGAGUCCUUUGGACAGAACUACCCAGAGGAAGCUGAUGGAACUUUGGAUUGCAUCAGUAUGGCCCUGACCUGCACCUUUAACAGAUGGGGCACACUGCUUGCUGUUGGCUGUAACGAUGGCCGAAUUGUCAUUUGGGAUUUCUUGACAAGAGGCAUUGCUAAAAUAAUUAGUGCCCACAUCCAUCCAGUCUGUUCCUUAUGCUGGAGUCGAGAUGGUCACAAGCUUGUGAGUGCAUCAACUGAUAACAUAGUGUCACAGUGGGAUGUCUUAUCUGGAGACUGUGAUCAGAGGUUUCGAUUCCCUUCACCUAUACUGAAAGUCCAGUAUCAUCCCCGAGAUCAGAACAAAGUUCUUGUAUGCCCUAUGAAAUCAGCUCCUGUUAUGUUGACCCUUUCUGAUUCCAAACAUGUCGUCUUGCCAGUAGAUGAUGAUUCUGAUCUAAAUGUGGUUGCAUCUUUCGAUAGACGAGGGGAAUAUAUCUAUACGGGGAAUGCAAAGGGGAAGAUCUUGGUCCUAAAAACAGAUACCCAGGAUCUAGUUGCUUCUUUCAGAGUAACAACUGGGACCAGCAAUACCACAGCUAUAAAAUCAAUAGAGUUUGCUCGGAAGGGGAGUUGCUUUUUAAUAAAUACAGCAGAUCGAAUAAUCCGAGUGUAUGAUGGCAGGGAAAUUUUAACCUGUGGCAGAGAUGGAGAACCAGAACCAAUGCAGAAACUGCAGGAUUUGGUAAACAGGACACCUUGGAAGAAAUGCUGUUUCUCUGGAGAUGGGGAAUACAUAGUUGCAGGCUCUGCCCGACAGCAUGCCUUAUAUAUCUGGGAGAAGAGUAUCGGUAACUUGGUGAAGAUUCUUCAUGGGACCAGAGGAGAGCUUCUGUUGGAUGUAGCUUGGCAUCCUGUCCGACCCAUAAUAGCAUCCAUUUCUAGUGGAGUGGUAUCUAUCUGGGCACAAAAUCAAGUGGAAAACUGGAGUGCGUUUGCACCAGACUUUAAAGAGCUGGAUGAAAAUGUGGAGUAUGAGGAAAGGGAGUCAGAGUUUGACAUUGAGGAUGAAGAUAAGAGUGAGCCGGAACAAACAGGUGCUGAUGCUGCAGAAGAUGAAGAAGUAGAUGUCACUAGUGUAGAUCCUAUAGCUGCCUUUUGUAGCAGUGAUGAGGAGCUGGAAGAUUCAAAGGCUUUGUUAUACUUACCCAUUGCCCCUGAGGUAGAAGACCCAGAGGAAAAUCCUUAUGGGCCCCCACCUGAUGCUGUCCAAACCUCAUUGAUGGAAGAGGGAGCUGGUUCAGAGAAGAAGAGACAGUCCUCAGCGGAUGGGCCCCAGCCACCAAAGAAGAAAACCAAAACAACCAACAUUGAGCUGCAAGGAGUACCUAAUGAUGAAGUCCAUCCGCUACUGGGGGUGAAGGGGGAUGGCAAAUCGAAGAAGAAGCAAGCAGGCCGGCCUAAAGGAUCAAAAGUAGCCCAGUGCCAAUAAUGAAGUUGGUGGUUGUACACUCCAGAAUGGCUAGGAAGAAAGAUGAAGUUUUUGAGGUACAUACCAUCAUGAUGUCAGGACCCGAAAAUGGGAGGAGAAAACCUGGGAGGAGCUGACCAGAAAAGCAGCUACUGGGAUGUAGAGGCUGCAAUGUCUGUCAGGGGGAGCAAUCUCAGAACUAUUAUGAAGACGACCUUGGGAGUUCUCCAUUCUUUUCCCACUCUGCAGUCAUGCAGCCUCGGACAUUGUGCUCGGACAAAUGAGACUGACUUUCAUUUAAAACCAAGGCCUCCGCCUCUCUCAGCAGGUGGAAGGAGGAGUGAUGUUUAUUUUUGAAUGAAGUGAAUUAUGAAAGAAGGGUGACCCUCCCCAGCCCUCCCUCUCAAAGCAGAAUUCCGAAUAGACUCAGGAAAAGAGGAUUUGCAAAGACUUAACGGGACUCCUGGCUCAUUUAGGGGAAUGCUUCUCUGCUUAGUUAUGCUGCUGAAACAACGCCUAUGUUUUCUUUGUAUGACCUUUCUUAACUAAACAUCACUUUGAUCUGCCCUUUCCCAUCCCCUGCUCCCUCUCAUCCCUUAGCGCAUGUCCUCAAGUGAAUCAUUCUUCUGUGUAACUUUUCCUCUCCCUGCUAUUGUCUCAUAGAAAAGGAUCUGUUGCAUACUCUCUCUUUUCUCUCUCCUUUCUUCCCUGAUCCAGUCAACAUAUAAAGGCCUGUAUUCCGUGUUACAUUAUUCUUUUUUUAAGAACAGGCAAGAAAACAAAGUGCUUAUAAUCUGAAAAGCUCAGGAAAACGUAGAGCCAUCAGAAAGGGAAGACAUAGAUAAGAAACCCGUUUUGACUAUCAUAUAACCUUUUCCCCAGGAGGUUGGGAUGUAAAAUGUUCUAUUUCUUUUUUUCCGUUUUAGCCUUCAGCAUCAAUUUAGUCUCUCUAAAUCAUGUUUCUAAAGACAGGUAGUUUCACCUGUUCAGGCAAAGUAGCACAUGAGGGCUUUUGUUUUUUGGCUGUCAUGUGCAAACUACUAGAGAAGAAACCAAACAAAGGUAUCUCUGAGCCUUCUUUUAUGAAGAAGUAUCUAUGCAAGGUCUAAAAUGGAGCUGUCCAAAAUCAGAUGCAGCAACAUAGUUCAAAUCAAAGUUCAAAGUGAAUUUUUUUCAUCAGUGUCCAUGGAUUUGCCCUUCCCUCAAAACAUCAGUGUUGUCCCCACCUGUGUCUGUGUUGUGAGCAGUUUCAGUUUCCUCCUUACAAUUCCUCUAUUAGUAUUUUUUUUUUUUGGUCACUUCCUUUCUGUGAAAGGCUUCUCAGUUGUCUCAGCUUCUUCACCACCACUUAGGAAACAAGAGUGGCAGCUCGAAUGUGUGCACACAUGAGAAACCUUUGGAUUUUUAAAAGUUGCCCAGAAUUCUUUCCACUUCCAUUGCUGGUCCUUUGUGAACUCACGGAGCUCAUCGUCUGGCCUGUUCUGCUUAUGUCUUGUCGCUUAUUGUCUCAAAAGUUCAUUUUAGGGAACCAACAUGUGAAAUGAGGAUCCACAGCCCUGGGUGCAGUAUUCAUCUAGCUAUGUCUGUUUUAAUGUGAAGGUAGUAUUUUUUCUUAACUUCUUGAGGAAAGCUUUAGAACAGUUUACACUAUAGCAUGAGGAGGAACCCACUUGAGCCCAUAGAUGAUCCAAGAAAGAGAUGAACCUGGUUAUUUGAAAGGAUGUUGGAGGGAUAGAAGGAGAAACAAAAAAUGUCUGAAACAGCCUUUCCUCCCGUUUCACUUGUUCGUGUAAGUGAAAGGUCCAUUUCCCAAGAUAUGUGACAAAAAGUCCGUGUUCUUUGAUAUAACUUAUUCUCUACAAAACCCUUGUUACCUAGACUCUUAAAACAAGUUACUCAGUAGUAGAGUAAUUGUGUGGACUACUGGACAUGUUUCUGUUUUACAUCAUAAGGAACACUGUCAUUACUUUAGAUUGUAUUCUGUAUUAGUCUGCCAGUUCACAUAAAUGCUUUUCUACCCUGUCACCAUUUACCAUGUAAUUUGAAUUUUCUUGCCUGGGUACUUGGGUAUUGAGCUAUUUCCCCUCCCAAGUGUGAGAGUGCCAAUCUAAGCUCCUUCAAGUUGGCUCUUGACAACAUCUUCAGGAUUCGUUUUUGUGAUUCAAAGAUUUUCUUCCGUUCUUCAAACUCGCUGUCCAUUUCAUUUGACUGCUUCACUGUUUGUACAAUAUAUGUAUAUUUUUUUCCUCCUUUCAUCUCCCUACGUGUGUAUGUGUGUUUUCUCUCUCGUCACUUUUUUUUUAAAGUUUUAAAUGCUCUGUAGUUUUGUAAAAGAUGAAAAUUGGUCACUUGAAUAGUUCUUGCUAAAGUGAUGAUGCUUUGUAAAUAAAGAUGAUCGUUUUACUUAAA